rnacentral:rRNA from 1 species
CCUACGGGAGGCUGCAGUGAGGAAUAUUGGUCAAUGGGCGGAAGCCUGAACCAGCCAAGUAGCGUGCGGGAUGAAGGCCCUACGGGUCGUAAACCGCUUUUGCACGGGGAUAACACCCUCCACUUGUGGAGGUCUGCAGGUACCGUGCGAAUAAGGGCCGGCUAAUUCCGUGCCAGCAGCCGCGGUAAUACGGAAGGCCCGAGCGUUAUCCGGAUUCAUUGGGCUAAAAGGGAGCGUAGGCGGUCGUUCAAGUCAGCUGUAAAAGCGCGCGGCUCAACCGCGCCCCGCAGUUGAAACUGGACGCCUUGAGUUCACAACAGGCAGGCGGAAUUCGUGGUGUAGCGGUGAAAUGCAUAGAUAUCACGAGGAACCCCGAUUGCGAAGGCAGCCUGCCGGGGUGCGACUGACGCUGAGGCUCGAAGGUGCGGGUAUCAAACAGGAUUAGAUACCCUGGUAGUC